rnacentral:rRNA from 1 species
CCUACGGGCGGCAGCAGUGGGGAAUAUUGCACAAUGGGGGAAACCCUGAUGCAGCGACGCCGCGUGAGUGAAGAAGUAUUUCGGUAUGUAAAGCUCUAUCAGCAGGGAAGAAAAUGACGGUACCUGAUUAAGAAGCCCCGGCUAACUACGUGCCAGCAGCCGCGGUAAGACGUAGGGGGCAAGCGUUAUCCGGAUUUACUGGGUGUUAAGGGAGCGUAGACGGCAGCAGAAGUCUGGAGUGAAAUGCCCGGGCUUAAACCCGGAACUGCAUUGGAGACUGUAAAGCUAGAGUACAGGAGAGGUAAGUGGAAUGACUGGUGUAGCGGUGAAAUGCGUAGAUAUUAGGAGGAACACCAGUGGCGAAGGCGGCUUACUGGACUGUAACUGACGUUGAGGCACGAAAGCGUGGGGAGCAAACAGGAUUAGAUACCCGAGUAGUC